GAUAACAUAAAGAAGGUCAGGGGCUUGAUACUGUAAGGUCCUCUUGAAGGGAGUAACACCUAGCGACGUAGAUCCCCAAGUUCUUGUCCUAUGGCCAUUAACUCGAUCUUCGGGUAUAAAUGGAGUUUCAAUCGAAACUCCAACUCCUGAGUUUACAUGAAAAAUAAAAGAUACGGAUUAGAAAAUAUAAAAUAAUUUAAUAAGGUAAGAAUGAAAAUCAGAGAAUUAUUAAACAAGAGUUACUAGGAUCAGAUCACUUUAUUUGUUUCUUCUUAUGAGCUCGACCACUUGACUAAACAGAGAACAGAGAAUCAUGAUACACAUUUCAAUCAUGUGAAUGUUUAUACCCCAUAUAAUUUAGCUAAACCCAAUCUUAAAUGGAAAAACACCCCUUGAUGUUAAUAUGCAUGCAAUAACCCAAUCUUUUGGGACUCUCAGAGAAGUAUAUUAUGUACAGAACUCCAUCACGGUAAUUAAUACACACAAAGUGAUCAAAAAGAAUAAAAUGAGAUGCGAUAAUAAAUAAAUGACUACUAGUAGGAAGAUUACAUGUUCUUCACGCUUACCAAUUUACGGGCACAUGAUGUAUCUGCUAGUUCAAUAAUGUUUUCCAUGCAUGUAAUAAAUAACUAUUUUAAACAUGAAAAGCUGGAAAGCUACGUGCACAAAAAUCUCCCUAUCUUUAGCAAAGAAAUUGGCUUUGUAGAUGCCAUAUUUUGGCAUAAGCAAAGUUCGAUUUGGAUGUUGUGAAUACAAAUCCAUUCACCAUUUUAGAACCACAUAAAAUAUACAAUCAAUUUUAAAGAAAGGGGAUGAGAAAGCCAUGACAUUAAAAUUCUAGUUAGCAAAUUCACUGGUAGAUUACCACAUCAGUAAGAACUCAUUAUCAAAAUUGAACUAAGGCAAACAACAUUUCUUAAAGUUGCUAGCAAAAUGGAUCAAAGGAUAAGCAGGGGGAGGGGGAGUAAGGGUUCACAUAUUUAAACUCAAAAUUUAUUUUAUUUGAGACUCAAUUUGAAAUUAGUCACAAAUGCUAGUCAUUCUAAAUUCACCUAAGCACUGUUAAAACUCAUAAUAUUAAACCCAAUAGUUGGAAAAGAUUCUUAACGUUGAAUUGCCAGAGAUGACGUUCGAUAGGACACAUGAUAUCUUACAUGGUUUACCCAAUUACAAACAACAGAAGAGGAUAAAAACUAAUAGUGAGCUAGAACAUUAUAAUGGAAGGAAGAAAAGAUCAGAAUGAAAUAUUAUUUAAUCAUGGAAAUGCCAUGUCAGGCGCACCUAUCAGAAUCGGAACAGACCAAUUACCACAUCCACCUAUUAUCACCGGCAUAACCAUAAAAAAGAUCAUUAAAAAAGCGUGAGCCGUUAUUAAAACAUUAUAAAGUUGAUGAGUGUUCAUUAAUGUAAUAUGUCAAAGUAUAAUUAUUUUCAUAACUAUGAAAUCAUUCGAAAGUGCAAACAAAGUAUAACAAAUGAAGGACCGGAUUAAUAUUUAUUUUUAGGUUUAAAAUUAGGAUAGAAUAACCAAAGGCAACACUUGAAAUAAACUAAUUGAACUACACUUGUCUUUAAAUAUACAAUUCAAGAGGAGAUUUUCUAAAAUAUCGAAAUGAAAUAACCAUGUCAUUGACACAUUAUUAAGGAAACAUAUUGUCAGAAAUCAGAUAAUUUUAUGAAAUCAAAAAUUUAUACUGAGUUACCAAAAUUCAAGAAAAUACCAUGGCUAACAAACUUGACAAAAUUCACCCAAAGAUUUAUUUUCCAGAAUCAAUGGCAAUAACUUAAAUUUUUAUCUAAAUUAAACCAACACAACAUGUCCGCGGAAUUAAAGCGGUAUGAAAGGAGGAAGAUGAAAGUGAGACGAAAGGUCGAAUUCAUACCUUGUGUUGGGCAGCAAACGAGGAACUUUUCGCCAAUUAUUUUGAUAAUGAACUUGAUCUUUGAACUCAACUUCAAUAGGAAUCAUAAAUAAUGAAAAGUGAGAGUUUGAUGAAUAGGAGAUUAUAUCGCGUGUUAUGUUUUUGUAAACCAGUUUUCCCUUUUCCCUCAUCAAAAACUUGUCCUCAAAUAGGUAAA
rnacentral:lncRNA from 1 species